rnacentral:rRNA from 1 species
GUCCACGCGGUAAACGAUGAAUACUAGAUGUCGGGUAGCAAAGCUAUUCGGUGUCGUCGCAAACGCAAUAAGUAUUCCACCUGGGGAGUACGUUCGCAAGAAUGAAACUCAAAGGAAUUGACGGGGACCCGCACAAGCGGUGGAGCAUGUGGUUUAAUUCGACGCAACGCGAAGAACCUUACCAAGUCUUGACAUCCCGGUGACCGGAUGGUAACGCAUCCUUCUCUUCGGAGCAUCGGUGACAGGUGGUGCAUGGUUGUCGU